UGUGGAAAUCAGAAUCUGUGCGUUUCCUUUCGCUUAGAAUAAGCCAUUUAUAUCUACAUUAGGGUGCGGGUCGACUUCCGCUAGGGCUGCCAUGUUGUGCUGCCAUGUUUCUACAGUAGCCCAGAACGGACAAACCAGACAGGACCUCUGGAGAGCGCCUUUCGCGUUUGUGCAAAUGCACAGGUAGAUCGGAAGUCGGCUAACGAAGCCGGGUAUAUAUUGUGUGCCGCACGCAGGCUUGCCAUUUCGUCUUUCGAGGACUGGAAGAGAGUGUUUUGAGAGUUGAGUGUGAGAACUUUGAUAAAUGGAGGAUCACACGUAUUAUUCAGCACAAGAAAGAGCGAGGAAGGGCGAACCUUCCCCUUCAAAGAAGCGAAAACGCGAAGAAGCCAAACGACUUCGAGACAGACGAAGACAGAAAACACGAGUAAACAUCGGCGUGGCCUUUCAUCGGUGGAAAUCACUAAUGAGGGACAAACAUUUCAACAGUGACGCCGGAGUCGCCUGCUUUCUGCUUCACAGCUAUGAGCGAGGUCCCGCAACAUCGACCCCUAUGAAGGGAAAAACCCCUCAAGGCGCAGCUCCAGCAUUGUCCAGCAUAGGUACUUCAAGUGGGACAGACAGGCAAGUAAUUUCAGUGAAUUAACUGUGCCGUCCUAAUAUGUUUGAUUAUAAGUAAAGUAGCUUAUUUAUAAGUUUUUCUUUCUAAAUUCAUGUUUCCUCUCCGUAUGUGUGAUAUAUGGAUCAUCAUCACAGUCUUGACAUGUGGCAUGGUGCCAAAAACCUGGCCAAAAAAAUUGCUGCAGCAGCAAAGAUAAAAGGACAGUCCCUUCUCCUCAACUGGCUAAAAGACAUCAUAAACCAUUUUUGGUGGUGCUGUAAGACAGCUGACACAACCGAGGAGUUUCUUACACUGUGGACUGGUAUCCUUCAUCAUGUUUGUAACCAUCACACCUGGGAAUAUGGAAGCUGCCAACAUGACCACCUGGAAGACACUCGUGAAAAGGAGUGGAUCAAGAGGGACUCGAAGUGCCACAAUGCGCUGGUGGACAUUGUUUACAAAAUGAGACAUAAUAAGCUCUUGAAAUGUUUUGUCUGUUUGACACUAAAUGCUGCAUUUUUAUGAUUGUGUGCCAGCAGAUCUAUUGCUAUUGUCUACAUAAAAAUGUGUGGCCUACAAUUUCUUUAUAAAUAAGUCUUUCAUUUUACAAAUGUCAGUAUUUACAGUUUUUUACACAUUUUUGGUAUCAAAAUUGUAAGGUACACUUGUCCCUUGUAAUGAACAGUACAUGCAUACAUUGUGUGUGGCAAUAUGUCACAGUGACAAAUGAUAGUAAUUAAAAGGUAA